ACUCUGCUGCUUUUGACUUCCCCACCAUGAUGGACUGUACGCCAAAAUAAACCCUUUCUUCCUUGAGUUGAGAAUAUUUCAUCACAGCAAGGAGAAAAGAAACGAAGACACUUCCUGAGUCAGAACUUCCUCUCAAAAGCAUCCGCCUACCAGCUGGGUUACCGUUGACUGUUAGGUGCCCACAGGGCCACAGGCUCCAGGGCACAAGGCUUCCGGGGACUCUCUGGACAGUUCCUGCUGCAGCCCUGAAGGUGCCUCAAAGCUGGAAGACACUGGUGCAGACUCAACAGAUCAGGUCCAUAGCCAAAAGGCUUACUGUGAGUGGGGCCUGGGUGAGAGCUGCCAUGUUCAAGGUAUGUUAACUGGGCCCUAUGAAACCCCACCUUGGUAGUCACCGGAAAUUUCUGGAUCAUUGUCACAAACCACAAUCUUUCCUACCCUCUGAUCUUCCCUGCCACUGGGACCUUUCCAGACCAGCCUCCUCUCUGUCCAUCUGAGCGGUGGCUAUGCCAAGGUAGGACAGCUUUGCAACCGCUGCCAACUUCUGCUAGCAGUAUGGCAAAGUAAUGUGAACAUCUCAAGACCCCUCAAUUCUAGAGACCUGGUCUCCCACCUAGGUCAUCCGAGCAAGCUGCACUCUCCUGCGAGAACAUCCAGACAUGUUUUCUAGAGGGUGUUCAGAAGCCUUUGGAGAUCAACGUCUGUUCCGCAGGGAGACGGAGGCUGCAAGCCGUCUUGAAUUAUGUUGCAGGAGCUUGCUCUGGACGGCUGCCUCGGGCCUGGGAGACUUCCUAUCAUAUGGCCCACCCACAUCAGGACACCUCAAGUGUCGUAUUCCUUUCUCAUCUUCCUGUAGAGGCCAGGCUCUGAUGGGACUCCCAGUUACUACAGAAUAAGGGCCAGCCACCCCAUGGUCAAAAGACAGAAACAGGAUGACGGAG